GCUGAGAGUGUGCAGAGCAGUUAUCCACAGCUCCUAGCAAGUAGCUGGAUGCAUGGAGCAGCUUUUCUACCUGGUAAAAGACUUGGAUACAGUCUAAUAUAAUUGUCAACUAUAAAGUAAUUAUAAAAUGGCAGAAUUUGGGGACCAGCAGCCAGCAUGAGAAGCACCUGGGACUCAACAACAGGCUCCACCAAAGGAACCAGGUGGCUGGACCCUCCCCCAACCCUGCAGGACCAGGCCAUGGGGAAUGACAGCCACACAGACGGACCCGGACUAGGAUGCACAUGAUGGACAGGGAAAUAUACAAAUACGGCCAUUGUGACUUUGCUGUUCUUCAGAUGCACCUUCAGACACGGUCUCCAUGUUCCCACCUUCUGCACUGACUUCCUGCAGGGUCCAGCUCUGCCUGCCUACAGUAAUAACUUAGCUGUCUAUAAUACCAGCAAUGCCACUUUUAAGUUCAAUGUCAGAGAUGGUCAGUUCCUUAAAAGUGUAUGUUCUCCUCCCAUAGGUAGAGUGGUUUUAGGGAUGAAGCUCUCUAAUUAGCUAGCUGGCCUUUAGGUGCACUGGGUCUCAUCAGUGAA